UCCCAGCCUUCUGCUCGCGAACGAACACGGAAAAAUUUCCGUGCCGCUCCCGAUCAAAGGGCUGGGCAGUUUCACGCGACACUUGUAACGCGUAAUAGGGGUUGCGCUCGUUACCCCACUUAAGGGAACAUUUCAAAACACGAGCUGACGACAACCAUGCAGCACCUGUGUGUGCUGUCCUUGUGAGAAGGGCAAUGUUUCCAUCACCCGUCAACACACAUUUCAAGCCCUGGUAAGGUUCCUCGCUUACUGUCGAAUUAAACCUCAUGUUCCACCGCUUGUGCGAGUCCCCGUCUAUUCCUUUGAGUUUUAGCCUUGCGGCCGUACUUCCCAGGCGGCCUGUUUAACGCGUUAGCUACGCCACUCCGAGGGUCGAUACUCGAAACAGCAAACAGGCAUC
rnacentral:misc_RNA from 1 species